UACGAAGGGGGCUAGCGUUGUUCGGAAUUACUGGGCGUAAAGCGCGCGUAGGCGGUUUUGCAAGCCAGAGGUGAAAUGCCUGAGCUCAACUUAGGAAUUGCCUUUGGGACUGCGAGGCUUUGAGGACGGGAGAGGUGAGUGGAAUUCCCAGUGUAGAGGUGAAAUUCGUAGAUAUUGGGAAGAACACCAGUGGCGAAGGCGGCUUACUGGUCCGGUUCUGACGCUGAGGCGCGAAAGCGUGGGGAGCAAACAGG
rnacentral:rRNA from 1 species